UUUCUCUCUCUAUAUGUAUCGUUUUCCCCCAUCUCUCUCUCACUAUAGACUCUUUCUCUCUCUACAUGUCUCGUUCUCUCUCUCUCUCUCUCUCUCUCUCUCUCUCUCUCUCUCUCUCUCACUACAUACAUUUUGUAUGUCUAUCACCACUCUACUCCGGUAGCCACCCAACUCGACGAUAAUGUGAGAGCCACUAUAGCAACACGCAAUGCGCUGUGAGGCGUUCGAUGCUCCUCUGAUGUUGGACCCGUUCGAUGCACCUUUGGCAUGACACUACCGCCGACCGUGUCUACCAUGCGCGGCGAAGCAACGCCUAAGGGCUCAGUGGUGCUUGCUAUACCCACUAAGCCAUCUCACCCCCAACCGUCACACUUACUCAACGUCCAUGGGCUUAGUGGAUCUGAAAUUUCCUUCUAUCCGCCACUGUGGAGGUUCUUAUGGUGUUGCAAUCCUCAGCAAAAGUUUCUUUGGUGAUUUUGUGGUGAUUUUCUGUAGUUUUUGUGGUAAUUUUGUUGCAUUUUUUUGUUAUGGUUUUUGAGGUGCUGGCCAUGGUAGUGUGCUGUGGUGGUGGCGGCGGCGGCAACGAGUUUAUGGAUUUUUUUGGUGGUGUCGUGUCAAUGGUGGUGUGGUGUAGCUGGAGAUAGAAGAGAUGGUGGUGGUGUGCUAUGAGUGCUUUGUGCAGUGGUGCUGUGGCGAUUUUUCGGGUGUUGUGGUGGUGGUGGUAAUUGUGGGAGACAGUGGUCUAGAUGCAGUGGUGCUCAUGGUAGUGUUGGGGGUGCGAUGAUUUUCUUAUCUAUUGUUCUUUGGUGGUGAUGGUGGGUUAUGACUUGAUAUUAAUUUGGUCACAGACAGUCACUCUGAAUAUAAUUUUGAUCAUAGUUAGUCACACCGAAUACAAAUUUGAUCACAGUUAAUCACAUGUAUGCGGUGUGUGUAGAUUUGUUUGUAGUGACCCUAUACAACCAAGUAUGUGUUUGUUGUAACUGUUUGUGAUCAAUUUUGUAUUGAUUGUGACCCGUUGUGACCAAUUUGUAUUGAUUGUGACCAGUUGUGACUUGAGAUUUACAUAGUUACAGAUGAUCACAUUAAAUACAAAUUUAGUCACAAAUAGUCACAUAUGACACAUGUAUGGUCACAGAUGUCACAGGUGCAAAUCUGAUCAUUUAUAACGCACCAUUACAACCACCACAGUUUUUUGGUAAUUUUUCAACAGUGGGGUGUAGAGAGAGAUUGUUUUCAAAUUUUAGAAAUUUUUCUAUUGGCAAGUCGGAGCAGUACCUGGAAUAGUUAUCGGAGUAGGCGCCAAAGUGAUCAUUGAAGCAAUUUGCUGGAGUGGUCUUCAGAGCAAUUUGUCGGGGUGAUCACCGAAAUAGUUGUCGGAGAGACCAUCGGAGUGAUCGCAGGAGCCGUUGCUGGAGUGGUCACUGGAGAUGAUAGCCAUUUAUGGUUGAGGGGUGGAGGAAAUGUGGUGUAAUGGGGUGAUAGGAUGAGGUGGAUGGCAUGGGUGGAAAUAAUUAAUGGAUAUUAUAUUAUAAUUUAAUAUUUAAUAAAU
rnacentral:lncRNA from 1 species